rnacentral:rRNA from 1 species
UACGAAGGGUGCAAACGUUGCUCGGAAUUAUUGGGCGUAAAGCGCACGUAGGCGGCUUAGCAAGUCGGAUGUGAAAGCCCUCGGCUUAACUGAGGAAGUGCACCCGAAACUGAGUAGCUAGAGUACUAAAGAGGGUCGCGGAAUUCCCGGUGUAGAGGUGAAAUUCGUAGAUAUCGGGAGGAACACCGGUGGCGAAGGCGGCGACCUGGGUAGAUACUGACGCUGAGGCGCGAAAGCGUGGGGAGCAAACAGG